UACGAGAGGCCCAAACGUUAUUCGGAAUUACUGGGCUUAAAGAGUUCGUAGGCGGCGCAGAAAGUAGGGUGUGAAAGCCCUCGGCUCAACCGAGGAAUUGCGCUCUAAACUACUGUGCUUGAGGGACCUAGAGGUGAGCGGAACUGAUGGUGGAGCGGUGAAAUGCGUUGAUAUCAUCAGGAACACCGGAGGCGAAGGCGGCUCACUGGGCCUUACCUGACGCUGAGGAGCGAAAGCAUGGGGAGCAAACAGG
rnacentral:rRNA from 1 species